GGGGUCGUAGCUCAGUUGGAAGAGCAACGCGUUCGCAAUGCGUAGGUCGGGAGUUCGAUUCUCCCCGACUCCACCA
rnacentral:tRNA from 1 species